rnacentral:rRNA from 1 species
AGAGUUUGAUCAUGGCUCAGAACGAACGCUGGCGGCGUGGCUAAGACAUGCAAGUCGUACGAUAUGUUGUAGCAAUAUGACAUAUAGUGGCGGACGGGUGAGUAAUGAAUAGGUAACGUACCCCCGGGGACAGGGAUAACGUCGGGCGAAAGCCCUUUGCGAAAGUGACGGUAAUACCUGGUGACGUCUUUGAAUGGCAUCAUGCAAAGAUCAUAGGGUGGGGACCUUCGGGCCUACCGGCCUGGGAGCGGCCUAUUUCCUAUCAGCUAGUUGGUGAGGUAAUGGCUCACCAAGGCAACGACGGGUAGCCGGACUGAGAGGUUGUUCGGCCACAUCGGGACUGAGACACUGCCCGGACAUCUACGGAUGGCUGCAGUAACGAAUAAUCCGCAAUGGGCGAAAGCCUGACGGUGCGACGCCGCGUGGAGGAUGAAUUCCUUCGGGAUGUAAACUCCUUUUAGGGAGAUGAAAGUGAAGCGCGCUAACACCGCGCCAGCUGAUCUAUCCCAGAAAAAGCCUCGGCUAAACCCGUGCUAGCAGCCGCGGUAAUACGGGUGAGGCAAGCGUUGUUCGGAAUCAUUGGGCUUAAAGCGCGUGUAGGCGGCGGCGUAUGUACUUUGUGAAAUCCCUUCUCUCAAUGGAGGAAUUGCUUGGUAUACUGCGUUGCUUGAGGCAGGUAGGGGUGCUUGGAACUCUAGGUGGAGCGGUGAAAUGCGUAGAUAUCUAGAGGAACGCCAGUGGCGAAAGCGGAGCACUGGGCCUGUCCUGACGCUGAGACGCGAAAGCGUGGGUAGCAAACGGGAUUAGAUACCCCUGUAGUCCACGCCCUAAACGGUGCACACUAGGUCUUGGCGGAUUCGACCCCACCAGGGCCCAAGCUAACGCGUUAAGUGUGCCGCCUGAGGACUACGGCCGCAAGGCUAAAACUCAAAGGAAUCGACGGGGGCCCGCACAAGCGGUGGAGUAUGUGGCUCAAUUCGAUGCAACGCGAAGAACCUUACCUGGCCUUGACAUGCACUAGACAGACGCUGAAAGGCGUUCUCCCUUCGGGGCUGGUGCACAGGUGCUGCAUGGCUGUCGUCAGCUCGUGUCGUGAGAUGUUGCGUUAAGUCGCGCAACGAGCGCAACCCCUGUCCUUAGUUGCCAUCAUUCAGUUGGGCACUCUAGGGAGACAAACCCUCUUUGAGGGUGGGAAGGUGGGGAUGACGUCAAGUCAGGAUGGCCCUUACGGCCAGGGCUGCACACGUACUACAAUGCCCGGUACAGAGGGAAGCAAUACCGCGAGGUGGAGCAAAUCCUCAAAACCGGGCCCAGUUCAGAUUGUAGUCUGCAACUCGACUACAUGAAGUUGGAAUCGCUAGUAAUGGCGCAUCAGCUACGGCGCCGUGAAUACGUUCCCGGGCCUUGUACACACCGCCCGUCACGUCAUGAAAGCCGGUUUCGCCCGAAGUGCGUUUGCCAACCAGCAAUGGAGGCGGCGCCCUAAGGUGAGGCUGGUGAUUGGGACGAAGUCGUAACAAGGUAACCGUA